rnacentral:rRNA from 1 species
CGGACGGGUGAGUAACGCGUGGGUAACCUGCCUUGUACAGGGGGAUAACAGUUGGAAACGGCUGCUAAUACCGCAUAAGCGCACGGCAUCGCAUGAUGCAGUGUGAAAAACUCCGGUGGUAUAAGAUGGACCCGCGUUGGAUUAGCUUGUUGGUGGGGUAACGGCCCACCAAGGCGACGAUCCAUAGCCGGCCUGAGAGGGUGAACGGCCACAUUGGGACUGAGACACGGCCCAG